rnacentral:lncRNA from 1 species
GGGACGUGAUGAUUGGAUCUUAGGUCAUCGCCAAGAGGGACAGCGUCAGAUAUCUUGGGUCGGUGAUACAUGGGGACAGUGAGAUUGACGGGUACGUCACUCAUCGUAUAGGAGCGGGGUGGUCAAAGUGGAGGCUUGCAUCAGGAGUCCUGUGUGACAAGAAAGUUCCACAGAAACUCAAGGGGAAAUUUUGACGGGGACGUCACUCAUCGCAUAGGAGCGGGGUGGUCAAAGUGGAGUCUUGCAUCAGGAGUCCUGUGUGACAAGAAAGUUCCAUAGAAACUCAAGAGGAAAUUUUAUAGAGCUGUGGUUAGGCCUGCCAUGUUGUGUGGGGCGGAGUGC